AAUAGAUACCCUGGUAGUCCACGCCGUAAACCGAUGAGUGCUAAGUGGUUGGGGGUGACCCAACCCGUCGGUGCUGUCGCUAACGCAAUAAGCACUCCGCCUGGGGAGUACGGCCGCAAGGCUGAAACUCAAAGGAAUUGACGGGGGACCCGCACAAGCGGUGGAGCAUGUGGUUUAAUUCGAAGCAACGCGAAGAACCUUACCAAGGCUUGACAUCCCCCCUGAUCGGUCUAGAGAUAGAUCUUUCCCUUCGGGGACAGGGGUGACAGGUGGUGCAUGGUUGUCGUCAGCUCGUGUCGUGAGAUGUUGGGUUAAGUCCCGCAACGAGCGCAACCCUUAUCUUUAGUUGCCAGCAUUCAGUUGGGCACUCUAGAGAGACUGCCGGUGACAAACCGGAGGAAGGUGGGGAUGACGUCAAAUCAUCAUGCCCCUUAUGUCUUGGGCUACACACGUGCUACAAUGGUUGGUACAAAGGGCAGCAAGCCAGCGAUGGUAAGCAAAUACCCAGAAAAGCCAAUCUCAGUUCGGAUUGUAGG
rnacentral:rRNA from 1 species